UUUUGACGUUUUGGAAGAAAGAAUUCUUUCAGAAAAAAAAGUAUUUUAAAAUGUUUGUGUGAAACAAAAUAUCGGGGUAAAAUAAUUGAAUCGUGUUGGAAAAAGAUGCAAUGGAAUCGUGUUGGAUGGAAGGAGGGCCAAAUGCCCCCGCAAACUAGAUACAUACCUCCAUUUAUAUCAAUAAAAAGUCUAGUAAGAGUACAAUUCAUCAACAACAGCAUCCGAAACAGCAUUAUCACACCAACAUCAACAAUAACAGCUUAAGCACCAAUCACAACAGCUGAAUCUCGAUAUGAUCCGCCAGUCCAUUUUUUAAAAUCCCGGCUGCAGAAAUUUAUGCGAGGACGAGCACAAGAUGCCAAUUUAUAACAUGGAACCAAUCGACAAAAUAAGCCUCCUCAAACGGAAUAAAUGCCCGAACAGCCAGGACCAUCAAAUGUCUGGAACGGGAUAUAACGCAAAAUUAAGUUCAUAUGGAAUACUUCCAACAUCUCGGUCAUACUGGCCAAUGUGUGGAUAAAUGCAAAAGACCUGCAUAGGUACAAGGUACUAGGAAUAUACGAAUUCGUUUGCAAAUAAAGAUUAUUGCCCAGUAAAUGAUGGUUGUCGGUGAUUUUAAUGAAAUGUUCAUGCCCUUAUUCGAUGGUGUCCUUGUCGAUCCAGAAAAAUCUGUAGCUGGAACAAACUCCUAAUAUAUUUGUUGACAAAAGGAAAAGAAUCAUAUCUUUUGCCAGCCAGACAAGCUGAUCUAAAACCACUCAAAGUAUGAAAUUGUGCUGAAAAGCUGCUCGUUUUCAAUUCAUUGUUGCUGAUAAUGUGAAGAUUCUGAAAAACUUCAUAAUCGUGACGAUCGUAAACGAAACAGGGAAAGAGAAAACUGACUAGAGUGCGUGCUCAGUAGAUAUGUUUAUAUAUUCAUAUGUGGAUAUCGCUUAAAUUGAGCGAGUUCAAGGUUAACAGGAGGAGAAGUCUAUAAAUACACUAUUUUCAGAUCUGUUUGAGUUGAAUUUUAAAAAUUUUCCAUAAGAGAUGAUCGACAGUCGCGGGCAGUUACGGAGUUUGUGGAAACAGAACCUAACAAUUCUGAACCUCAAUUCUUUGCAAGAAUGAAAAUCGAAGAAGUAGCUCCAGCACAAGAACUACACCAAGCUAAAAUCGGAGAAUGUAAGAGAAAAUCAAUACCUCAUAGCAGAUUUUUACGAAACACUCAACACUUUGUGUCGUAUACCAACUGUGUCCUAAAAUUGUUGUCAUCGAAACUCCAAAUGCAAAAACCAUGAAGGAAGAAUGAAAAAAGCGCCAUUUGUUAGAAGAUUAACAUCAACAAUGUAGUCUAGGGCUUUUAAUUAUUUCUAAAGAAUACAUCUUUUUAUUAUUGUUAUUCUUGUAAAGACUUUUUAUACGAAUAUUUUAUAUUACAUAAUUAUGCAGGUAUGUGUGUAUUUUUGUAAUUAUUUUAUUUU